rnacentral:rRNA from 1 species
UACGGAGGGGGCUAGCGUUAUUCGGAAUUAUUGGGCGUAAAGGGCGUGUAGGCGGCUUCGUAAGUCUCAUUGUGAAAGCCCUCGGCUCAACCGAGGAACUGCAUGGGAAACUGCGGAGCUUGAGUCCGGGAGAGGAGAGCGGAAUUCCCAGUGUAGCGGUGAAAUGCGUAGAUAUUGGGAGGAACACCGGUGGCGAAGGCGGCAUCCUGGACCGGCAUUGACGCUGAGGCGCGAAAGCCAGGGGAGCAAACGGG